GAUCUGGCUCAGGAUGAACGCUGGCGGCGUGCCUAAUACAUGCAAGUCGAACGCUUUGUAAAGGAGCUUGCUUCUUUACGAGGAGUGGCGAACGGGUGAGUAAUACAUAAGCAAUCUGCCCAUCGGCCUGGGAUAACAGUUGGAAACGGCUGCUAAUACCGGAUAGGUUAGUUUCUGGCAUCAGGAACUAAUUAAAGUUGGGAUACAACACGGAUGGAUGAGCUUAUGGCGUAUUAG
rnacentral:rRNA from 1 species